UACAGAGGUCUCAAGCGUUGUUCGGAUUCAUUGGGCGUAAAGGGUGCGCAGGCGGCUCGUUAAGUCGGAUGUGAAAUCUCACAGCCUAACUGUGAUAGGUCAUUCGAAACUGGCGGGCUUGAGGGCUGGAGAGGAGACUGGAAUAGUCGGUGUAGCGGUGAAAUGCGUAGAGAUCGACUAGAACACCGGUGGCGAAGGCGGGUCUCUGGACAGUUCCUAACGCUCAUGCACGAAAGCUAGGGGAGCAAACAGG
rnacentral:rRNA from 1 species